CUUUCCCUCCUGGACGUGCCAGGCAAACAGCCCAAGCAGAAGAACAUCAGCAAGGGGGACCAAGGAAGAUGUGUCUGCUCACCACGGGGCUUGCUGUGGAUGUCAUGAAGAGGCUUGGCAGCGUUGAAGACAAUAAAGCAUGCUUUCCUGGAAGAAACAAUGCUGGAUUAAGGACUAAAACAUGGUCACUUUUUUCACCACGAGGAAGACCUGUCCUUGUUAAAAAUGUACUGGCUUCAGACACAUGGAAGAGAGUCUGAGAAUGUUUUGAGUAGGAAUGUUGCUGGAGAUAAAUUAUGGGCUAAGAAAUCAGCUGACUGAGUCGACCGUAUAGAUUUUCCCAGGUCACAUUACUUUUCCAUUUGUAUUCUCAAUCGCUUUUGAACACCCUUCAUGCAAGUCAGCAUAUCAAAAGAUGAUUUUAUACAAGGAUUACCGAUUUCAAAUAAAUAAAGAACCAAAAGAAAUAGAUUUCAAUUGCAUCCAGACUGGUUGGAGAUAAAAUGAGGAGUGCUACAACUCGCUGGGCCAGCACAGACAGGAGCCCUGGGAGCGCUCUCCUCUGAGAUCGAUGAAGUGAGAAUAGGCCCCAGUAAAGCAGUGGAGAAAACUGUCUUCCUGAGCCCCCUCUAGCCCAAGGAUUCCAGCUAUUCUUUGCACUCAGCCCCCAUGGGGUUAAUGAUGAAUUAUUACAAACAAUGAAGACAUUUAAGGCUGAAGACUAAGCCAUGAUUUGCUGUUCUCUGCCUGUUCACCCCCAACUAUUUCUAAUCCCACUAUUUCCUGAUGAGAACACACACUUAACCAGAUAUUCUACUUCAUUUUUGGAAAAUCUCUUGAAGUUGCUUUGGAUGAGCUGAGGAAAUGACAUCAUCACCCCUUGCUGGCUGCAGGAGUGACUGAGCCCUUGGGUUUGGGUGGGGUUGGGCUGCUGGUGAACGCAGAAGGUGUGGCGCUGCCGAGAGAACUGGACCCCAGAACCGCUCUGUUCUCCAAGUCA
rnacentral:lncRNA from 1 species